GUGUUUACUUGGCAGCACAUAUACUAAAGUUGGAAUGAUACAGAGAAGAUUAGCAUGGCCCCUGUGCAAAGAUGACAAGCAAAUUCAUGAAGCGUUCCGUAUUUUU
rnacentral:snRNA from 1 species